GCGCAGAUGGCGGAGUGGUCAAUCGCAUCUGACUGUAAAUCAGACGCCUUCGGGCUACGUAGGUUCAAAUCCUACUCUGCGCACCA
rnacentral:tRNA from 2 species